rnacentral:rRNA from 1 species
AUCCCUUGACAUCCUGCGAACUUUCUAGAGAUAGAUUGGUGCCUUCGGGAACGCAGUGACUGGUGCUGCAUGGCUGUCGUCAGCUCGUGUCGUGAGAUGUUGGGUUAAGUCCCGCAACGAGCGCAACCCUUAUCAUUAGUUGCUAACAUUUAGUUGAGAACUCUAAUGAGACUGCCGGUGAUAAACCGGAGGAAGGCGGGGACGACGUCAAGUCAUCAUGGCCCUUAUGGGAUGGGCUACACACGUGCUACAAUGGGCGGGUACAAAGAGCAGCCAACUGGCGACAGUGCGCGAAUCUCAUAAAACCUCUCGUAGUCCGGAUCGGAGUCUGCAACUCGACUCCGUGAAGUCGGAAUCGCUAGUAAUCGUGAAUCAGAAUGUCACGGUGAAUACGUUCCCGGGCCU